CUCCUCCCCAGCCCCUCACCCUGGAAACAAAGGCAGCUGCGGCUCUGGAAAGAGGAGACCCUGGUUCUGACGGCCCAGGAGGACCCAGUACCCAGCUAAGGUGAGCUCCCUGAGCCAUGUGGUGCUGGGCGAGUGCUGCCCACUGAGCUCCGCGGACCCUUCCUAGAGCUUCAUUUUCUCCAUGAGGAUAAGCUGCUCAGGCCUCCUGCCUCAGCCUCCCCGAGCCGGAUUACCCAGGCCACCACACCAGCUGGGACCUUCUUCCUUCUCCCCCUCGCUCUCUCCUAGCUCAAGUAUCUGAGGUGAAGUCCCCCCACAUCUUGGUUUCCCAUCAAUUCAGGACUGAUUUUUUUUUUUUAACCAACAUCUGAAUUUUAUUUCGUUCUUGUUUUCUUUUCUUUUACACGAUUCUGUCCUUCACUAUCAUGCAAUUGCUACUUUCAUUUAUCCAAGUUCGAGGAGUUUAAAAGCUGCCAAAGCAAAAGAAGAAAAUAUCCCUGACUCGGGGUAAGAGGGCUCGCGUGGACAGGCCCACGGUCGGUCGUCUGGGCCAGGUUGGCUUUUGUAGCUGGAGUCCCUCCUCUCUCACUGUUCCCUUGUCAGCAAAGCGGGGACAACCGUUCUCGGACUGAACAUUUAGGAGACUAAAUGAAACAGAGGCCGUGAAUGUGCUUUUCAAAGAUGUCUUCUGUUCACCUACAGAGAGUGUGGCCAGUCUCUCAAACUAGUGCAAAGUCCUUCCCAACAGCAGGUCACCUUCUAGCUGCUUUCUUCAAACAGAGCGAGGAGAAGGAGUUUGUGCUUCUGACCAUCCGCCGCAUCUGAGGACAUCCACAGCUUAAUGAACAAAGCUGGAUUAACACGGCUCAGAGUGGACGUGCUGCGGCUUCCCAGGCCUGGACGCACGAGAGGAUUUGAGAGGCACGUGUUUGGAUUAGAGAGCUGUGGAUCAGGACCGGUUCCCAGAAUGGUCUGCAUUAUUAUUUCUGGAUUAAGAGAUGAUGUUUUUAAAGGACACUUUCAGAGGGCAGACGAUGCAAACAGACCCCACAGUCAUUUUUAAGGAAGACAUUAUAUCAAAGUAGGAUGAAGUGAUACAGGAAUACAAGCCUUCAACCACCAGGGAGACGACAAACCAUUGCUUUGGGACACAUCAGGAGAAGGCUGCAGCAGGCAGAUCGCAGGGCCGGAGGAAAGGGGGUCAUCAGGCUGCCCGCCGUUGCCCCUGCCUUGAAAGUGUGGACACACUUUAAAUGUGGAGAUCUUCCCGGGAGGACGACCGGAGUUCAGGGCUGCCGGGUUCACAUGGGUGCGUAUAAACACCUCCGGAGCCGGAGCGUCUUCUUUCCUGUUAUAAAGGCCUUUACAGAACAUCUGUAGCAUCCUUCCAUCCGUCUGCAAUGGCUCUCAUCAGUUCAUUGAAAGGGGACUGCCACCCAGCCAGUGGGAUAGCGGAAAGCUAGUGAACCACCAGUAAGCCCUGCUGCAGCCACCGUGACCCGCCAGCAAGCUCCACCCAUGUCAGAGGGGAUCCCGCAGCGUGGUGACUGCUGCCACCUGGCACAAAAGCACCGUUUCCGUAUCGUGGAUUGUGAGUCUCAGGUGUCUCACAGCACUUAACACCCUGACGUGAUGGCUGGUGGUCACACCCAUCGAAGGCUCAAGAAGGGCAGGGGAUCUGCCUGGAGAGGUCAUUUCAUGGCGAUAAGCAGACUUAAUGCAGAAAACGGAGGUGAACGCUAAAGGAGUGACCUGAACAGGAGCACCUCAGGUGGCACCCACCGUGCACCUCAGUCCUGUGAAAGGCAGCCUCUCAGGGCCUCUGGUGACAUCUUCGGAAGCUGUGAGAUGGGCGGGAUUCACGCCGUGGGAAGCCGCACAUCGUCUGAAGACAUGUCCAGCAUCUUUCAUUUUACUCGAACGUCGAGUUUUUAAAUGCAAGUAUUCUCCGAGCCUACACUAGCCGAGAUAAUUUCCAAUGGCCUAAUUCCUGGACAUCGAAAUUCUAUGCCUGAAUUCACACCAAGGCAUAAUGAGGACAGUUUACAGAAUCUGUGGGGCCCAGGGCAAAACUCCCUGCUCCAAAGUAAGAUUCUCAAGAUGGCCACAGCAGCAAAUGCAACCGAGUGCAAUUCUAAGUGUGACCAGUGAAGCAGGCCCUGGGGUAACUAGUACUGAAAUACGAGACAGAGAUUCCAAACAGAAAUGGAAGAGGUAGGCUGUUCAGAAGAGGAAAGGCCGAAGACGCUCAAUCAAAUAUUAUUUCUCCCUAAAAUUUGUCUUCAGGUAGCCUCGUUUCCAUCAGUUUUAUCCAGCUGCUAAACACCUUUGUAAGAGGUUAACUAGGUCAGCUUACGGUUCCCCACUGAAAGGUAUUUUCUGGUUACAGGAGACUCUGAAAAUUAAAUUACAUUAAUAACUAAGAGAUUGUGUUUUAGUCUCCUGAGAAGGCUUGAGAACACCUGGGACAGGUGGCUUUCCUGUAGGUGACACACCUGUCACCUAUUAUGAAGCAUCCUGCCAUUGCGAUUGUCACAGAUUACAUUUUUAUCUCCCAUUUAAGAGGUGGUUUAUUUGUCCACGAUAAAGCAACUUAUUUUUUCAAACUUUCAAACAUUACCAGUGGAACUUGCAUGUCAGAGACCCAGGCAGGCAGAGAUGACCAUCGUGGGCCUUACCCAGUGGGACGGGCACUGCACCAACACUGCUGUCCCCAUGUGUGUCUGUCGCCACUGUGGCCACACAUGCCUCUUCAGUUAUGGGAUCCAGUUCUGAAUGAUGUGAAUCUGAAGCUUUUGAUGAUACUGAAGUUUGAGUGAGUGCUGUGAUUUAACAGGAAGUUGUGGCGCCGACACGCAGACACACUCAGGUCUCCUUGCCAAACACGUGUACACACAUGAGUGUAUCCCUACCCAUAAACAUGUCUUCACUGUGUCUUUAAAUGUAUUUUAAAUAAGAUUAUGUGAAUGGGCCAGGGACAUUUAUGUUGGAGUGACAUAUUUUGGGGGCAUGACUGACAGUCUGAUUAGAAGUCAUGUCAUUCAUUGCUGGGGUAAAAUGCACACCGUCCCCCACGGCAAUCUGAGUGUUUAUUUUGCACAUGCCUUGACCUCAGGAGGCACAGAGGCCAUCCCCAAAGCGUGCAUGCGGUGGGGCUGGUGUCACAGUGGUGUGCGUGACGUACAAUCAUGGGCAUGCCAAGGCCAUCUCACACCGGCAGCAGCCAAGCAGAAGGGCUGCUCCUGAAAGAAAACGGGUCCUUCUUAAACACAGUGCUCCCAAGUCAGGCCCUGUGCUGUCCCUGGUGUGUGCUAACUGUCGGAACACGGUGUCCCCAGUCUGGGCAUAAAACAGACUUGCUCAUGGUUCCUGUGUUACGAUUCUAAAAGUCACCGUGACUUAAAAACCAUUGCACAGGUCUUUCUGAGGUCAGAUCUAUCUACUUCAGUACCACUUUACCUACAUCUGUGUAUGCAAGGGUGUUGCCUCGGAGGACACUAGACAGGAACGUGGCUUUUAACUGUUGCUAGAACUCACACUGAUUGGAGUCCCUGUCUGGGCUACGUCUUUAGGCCGCGGAGUGUGUAUUCUCCCAGCACACAGCUGCGAGAGAGUGUUGUUGUAAUGACUUCCUCUUAGAAGAAACCCACAAAUGUGUACCGUCUCCAUGCACUUCAGCCGUCACCAGCAUGUGGUGUGAACUGAAAUCCUCCCAGUCAGAAAUGUGCAUGCUUCUAACUCAGUUUCUGUAACCUGGUUAUUAUGUUUAAAUGCCUCUACACUGCAGGGCGGUGCCCCAUAGUUCCACUCAAAUUAG